UCAUUCACAUGUAUGGCCUGCCAAAGAUUUAUCGGCUAAGGAUGGGCCUGCGUCUGAUUAGAUAGUUGGUGAGGUAACGGCUCACCAAGUCGACGAUCAGUAGCCGACCUGAGAGGGUGAUCGGCCACAUUGGAACUGAGACACGGUCCAAACUCCUACGGGAGGCAGCAGUGGGGAAUAUUGCACAAUGGGCGCAAGCCUGAUGCAGCAACGCCGCGUGAAGGAAGAAGGUCUUCGGAUCGUAAACUUCUGUCCUUGGGGAAGAAGAAGUGACGGUACCCAUGGAGGAAGCCCCGGCUAACUACGUGCCAGCAGCCGCGGUAAUACGUAGGGGGCGAGCGUUAUCCGGAAUUAUUGGGCGUAAAGAGUGCGUAGGUGGCUCUUUAAGCGCAGGGUUUAAGGCUACGGCUUAACUGUAGUUCGCCCUGCGAACUGAAGGGCUUGAGUGCAGGAGGGGAAAGCGGAAUUCCUAGUGUAGCGGUGAAAUGCGUAGAUAUUAGGAGGAACACCAGUGGCGAAGGCGGCUUUCUGGACUGAAACUGACACUGAGGCACGAAAGCGUGGGGAGCAAACAGGAUUA
rnacentral:rRNA from 1 species